UCUGGAUGAAAAUGAGGAAAAUGGAGAUGGAGAGGAUGAGUAAAAGAUAAAAACACACCUUCUUUACUAAGACAGUUUUAGUUCCCUUAUUUUCAGUCCAAGUGUUCCCAUAAGAGUCCGGUCCUGAAUUAUGAUCCGCCUCCCCUUCUGCCCUCUUAGGAUGUCUUAUCUUGGACUUUCAGUGAGACUGAGAUUAUCCUCCUCCCUGUCACCCCGCAGUGUUGACAUUUGAGUCCAGUAAUUAUUAUUGGGUUUUAAUUAAUCCAGAUUGUGACUGAUUCCCCUCAGGAGGUCUUUAAUUUAGUUUUUGAUUAACACAAAGUUCAAGAAACCAGGAUAAUCGGUGAAAGAGUUUCAUGUGUGAGCUCAGCUGUUUGUGUUUAAACCCAGAAAAGACGAGUGAAGACGACAAAAAACAACAAAUAUGACAGUAAUGUGAUACGACAGGUCUACGGUGGAUGGACUCUGAGACUGAAGGUGUCUGAUCUUGGUCUGAUGAUGCUGCGACUACAUGGGGACAAUAAAAGGGGAGGAGCUACGAGCAGAAAAGUGGUCAGCCACUGUGUUAUUGGAUAAAUGAGACGGGCUGGUGAACGACUGAUUGACCAAUAAUGUGGCGUUCACACCAAGCGCGAGUAAAUCAUUUGCGUAAACGAAUCACAUGUUAAGUCAAUGCAAAGACACAAUUAGACGCCCGUACUACUCUGCGGCGUGAUGACACGAAAUGGAUGAGUUAUUGGAGCCACUGACGCAAAUUCGCCUCAUUCGCACAAGUUAGGGUGACCAUAUCCCCAAAAAGAGGACACGACUACAGAGUCACAGAGUCGCAUGUAGUUAAUUUUGAGAGUUUUUCUGGUCGCCUCGAGUGUUUUUUACGUACUUCUAACUCAAUAAGUUCCCACAACUCAAAACACACAUUAGGCCCAGAAACCACGU